rnacentral:rRNA from 1 species
GACGAACGCUGGCGGCGUGCUUAACACAUGCAAGUCGAACGGAAAGGCCCUGCUUGCAGGGUACUCGAGUGGCGAACGGGUGAGUAACACGUGGGUGAUCUGCCCUGCACUUCGGGAUAAGCCUGGGAAACUGGGUCUAAUACCGGAUAGGAGCCAUUUUUAGUGUGAUGGUUGGAAAGUUUUUUCGGUGUAGGAUGAGCUCGCGGCCUAUCAGCUUGUUGGUGGGGCAAUGGCCUACCAAGGCGGCGACGGGUAGCCGGCCUGAGAGGGUGGACGGCCACAUUGGGACUGAGAUACGGCCCUGACUCCUACGGGAGGCAGCAGUGGGGAAUAUUGCACAAUGGGCGCAAGCCUGAUGCAGCGACGCCGCGUGGGGGAUGACGGCCUUCGGGUUGUAAACUCCUUUCGCUAGGGACGAAGCUUUUGUGACGGUACCUAGAUAAGAAGCACCGGCUAACUACGUG